rfam:Dipodomys ordii contig_40423, whole genome shotgun sequence.
GGUGGCUUAAUGGUAGGGCACUUGCCUUGUAUGCAUGAGGUCCUGGGUUUGAUUCCUCAGCACCA